rfam:Ictidomys tridecemlineatus contig096516, whole genome shotgun sequence.
GGGUAUAUAGCUCAGUUGGUAGAGUGUUUGCCUCGCUUGCACAAGGCCCUGGGUUCAAUCCCCAGCACCACUA